rnacentral:rRNA from 1 species
CCUACGGGUGGCUGCAGUGGGGAAUUUUGGACAAUGGGGGCAACCCUGAUCCAGCCAUUCCGCGUGAGUGAAGAAGGCCUUCGGGUUGUAAAGCUCUUUUGUCCGGAGCGAAACGGGCGGCCCUAAUACGGUCGUCUACUGACGGUACCGGAAGAAUAAGCACCGGCUAACUACGUGCCAGCAGCCGCGGUAAUACGUAGGGUGCGAGCUGUAAGCGGAAUGUCUGGGCGUGGUGUUGGCGCAGGCAUGUGAAAUCCCCGGGCUCAACCUGGGAAUGGCAUUUGGGACUGCAAGGCUGGAGUGUGGCAGAGGGGACUAGAAUUCCUGGUGUAGCAGUGAAAUGCGUAGAUAUCAGGAGGAAUACCGAUGGCGAAGGCAGGUCCCUGGGUUAACACUGACGCUCAUGCACGAAAGCGUGGGGAGCAAACAGGAUUAGAUACCCCGGUAGUC